rnacentral:lncRNA from 1 species
CACACGCAGAAGGAAUAUUAGGUCACACCGUGACGUUGAUCACAUCCCGGCUUCAUUAAAUGUGACAUUUACUGAAUAGCAAAGUAUCACAAAGUGAGCACCGUGACUGUGGAGAAAAUUCUGGAAGUGUAAACGUGGAGGGAGAAUUCUCCUGCCUCGGCAAGACUCACCAUGCCUGUGUUCCCAGGAAAAUCACUGUUACCUCAGGGGAGCCAUUAGAUGGCAGAAGCGACAAGACUGGCAGCAAGAGAAGAAGGUUAGAGGCACAUUUGGAAGUCCCAAGAAUAAAACAAGAGGAAUUUUAAAGGUUAAAGACCAAGGAGGACAUGAAAGAGAAAGUAAAAGGACUUUCUUGGAGUCACGCUGA